rnacentral:rRNA from 1 species
AUUGAACGCUGGCGGCAUGCCUUACACAUGCAAGUCGAACGGCAGCACGGGUGCUUGCACCUGGUGGCGAGUGGCGAACGGGUGAGUAAUACAUCGGAACAUGUCCUGUAGUGGGGGAUAGCCCGGCGAAAGCCGGAUUAAUACCGCAUACGAUCUACGGAUGAAAGCGGGGGACCUUCGGGCCUCGCGCUAUAGGGUUGGCCGAUGGCUGAUUAGCUAGUUGGUGGGGUAAAGGCCUACCAAGGCGACGAUCAGUAGCUGGUCUGAGAGGACGACCAGCCACCCUGGGACUGAGACACGGCCCAGACUCCUACGGGAGGCAGCAGUGGGGAAUUUUGGACAAUGGGCGAAAGCCUGAUCCAGCAAUGCCGCGUGUGUGAAGAAGGCCUUCGGGUUGUAAAGCACUUUUGUCCGGAAAGAAAUCCUUUGCCCUAAUACGGUCGGGGGAUGACGGUACCGGAAGAAUAAGCACCGGCUAACUACGUG